UGCAUAUAAAUGUUUUUCACGAUAAUUUGC
rnacentral:piRNA from 1 species